AUUGAACGCUGGCGGCAGGCUUAACACAUGCAAGUCGAGCGGGGUGAUGGUGCUUGCACUAUCACUUAGCGGCGGACGGGUGAGUAAUGCUUAGGAAUCUGCCUAUUAGUGGGGGACAACAUCUAGAAAGGGAUGCUAAUACCGCAUACGUCCUACGGGAGAAAGCAGGGGAUCACUGGUGACUUUGCGCUAAUCGAUGAGCCUAAGUCGGAUUAGCUAGUUGGUGGGGUAAAGGCCUACCAAGGCGACGAUCUGUAGCGGGUCUGAGAGGAUGAUCCGCCACACUGGGACUGAGACACGGCCCAGACUCCUACGGGAGGCAGCAGUGGGGAAUAUUGGACAAUGGGGGGAACCCUGAUCCAGCCAUGCCGCGUGUGUGAAGAAGGCCUUAUGGUUGUAAAGCACUUUAAGCGAGGAGGAGGCUCUUUUGGUUAAUACCCAAGAUGAGUGGACGUUACUCGCAGAAUAAGCACCGGCUAACUCUGUGCCAGCCGCCGCAGUAA
rnacentral:rRNA from 1 species